rnacentral:rRNA from 1 species
CGCGGCCUAUCAGCUUGUUGGUGAGGUAGUGGCUCACCAAGGCGACGACGGGUAGCCGGCCUGAGAGGGCGACCGGCCACACUGGAACUGAGACACGGUCCAGACUCCUACGGGAGGCAGCAGUGGGGAAUAUUGCACAAUGGGCGCAAGCCUGAUGCAGCGACGCCGCGUGGGGGAUGAAGGCCUUCGGGUUGUAAACCCCUUUCAGCAGGGAAGAAGCGAAAGUGACGGUACCUGCAGAAGAAGCGCCGGCUGACUACGUGCCAGCGGCCGCGGUAAUACGUAGGGCGCAAGCGUUGUCCGGAAUUAUUGGGCGUAAAGAGCUCGUAGGCGGUUCGUCGCGUCUGCUGUGAAAGCACGAGGCUCAACCUCGUGUCUGCAGUGGGUACGGGCGGACUAGAGUGUGGUAGGGGAGACUGGAAUUCCUGGUGUAGCGGUGGAAUGCGCAGAUAUCAGGAGGAACACCGAUGGCGAAGGCAGGUCUCUGGGCCACAACUGACGCUGAGGAGCGAAAGCGUGGGGAGCGAACAGGAUUAGAUACCCUGGUAGUCCACGCCGUAAACGGUGGGCACUAGAUGUGGGGCUCUUUCCAUGAGUUCCGCGUCGCAGCUAACGCAUUAAGUGCCCCGCCUGGGGAGUACGG